rnacentral:rRNA from 1 species
CCUACGGGUGGCAGCAGUGGGGAAUAUUGCGCAAUGGGCGAAAGCCUGACGCAGCGACGCCGCGUGAGGGAUGAAGGUCUUCGGAUCGUAAACCUCUGUCAGCAGGGAAGAAAGGUCACUGUGCUAAUCAGCAGUGAAUUGACGGUACCUGCAAAGGAAGCACCGGCUAACUCCGUGCCAGCCGCCGCGGUAAUACGGAGGGUGCGUGAGUUAAUCGGAAUUACUGGGCGUAAAGCGCUCGUAGGCGGUAUGUCAAGUCAAGGGUGAAGUCCCCGCGCUCAACGUGGGAACUGCCUUUGAAACUGGCAAACUGGAGUGUGUGAGAGGAUAGUGGAAUUCCAGGUGUAGGAGUUAAAUCCGUAGAUAUCUGGAGGAACAUCAGUGGCGAAGGCGACUAUCUGGCACAUAACUGACGCUGAGGAGCGAAAGCGUGGGUAGCAAACAGGAUUAGAUACCCGUGUAGUC